rnacentral:miRNA from 1 species
UUUCCCCACUCCUUGCUUUA